GGGAGUAGAUAGUUCCCGGUGGGGCUCACGGGCUUCAACCCCGAUGGGGGGCGGCCAGCGCCGUCCCCGGUGGGUUCGACUCCCUCCUACUCCCGCCA
rnacentral:tRNA from 1 species